rnacentral:rRNA from 1 species
UACAGAGGGGGCAAGCGUUGUCCGGACUUACUGGGUGUAAAGCGCAUGCAGGUGGCUGUGCAAGUAUGCUGUGAAAGCCCCGUGCUUAACACGGGGAGGCCAGUAUAGACUGCACGGCUCGAGGACUGCAGAGGGUAGGGGAAUUGCUGGUGUAGUGGUGAAAUGCGCAGAUAUCAGGAGGAACACCGGUGGCGAAGGCGGGUCUCUGGGCCGAUACUGACGCUGAGGUGCGAAAGCGUGGGGAGCAAACAGG